rnacentral:rRNA from 1 species
AGUGAACGCUGGCGGUAGGCCUAACACAUGCAAGUCGAACGGCAGCACAGUAAGAGCUUGCUCUUACGGGUGGCGAGUGGCGGACGGGUGAGGAAUACAUCGGAAUCUACUUUUUCGUGGGGGAUAACGUAGGGAAACUUACGCUAAUACCGCAUACGACCUACGGGUGAAAGCAGGGGAUCUUCGGACCUUGCGCGAUUGAAUGAGCCGACGUCGGAUUAGCUAGUUGGCGGGGUAAAGGCCCACCAAGGCGACGAUCCGUAGCUGGUCUGAGAGGAUGAUCAGCCACACUGGAACUGAGACACGGUCCAGACUCCUACGGGAGGCAGCAGUGGGGAAUAUUGGACAAAGGGCGCAAGCCUGAUCCAGCCAUACCGCGUGGGUGAAGAAGGCCUUCGGGUUGUAAAGCCCUUUUGUUGGGAAGGAAAAGCAGCAGGUUAAUACCCCGCUGUUCUGACGGUACCCAAAGAAUAAGCACCGGCUAACUUCGUG